rnacentral:tRNA from 1 species
GUCCAACCAACAGGAACUGCUAAUUCUUGCAUCUGAGUCUAAAACCUCAGUCCCCUUACUUUUAAAGGAU